rnacentral:lncRNA from 1 species
CGUCUCCAUCACCUAGCCAAGACCUUUUGUCACAUUUGCUUGUCACACCUGAUGCCAGUGGAAGAUUCAUGCCCCAAGAGGAGAUCAUUGACAUCAUGCUACAGCUGCUUUUUGCGGGCCAUGACACUUCUCGGUCGGCCUUAUCGUCUAUCAUGAAGUAUCUUGGCGAAAUGCCUCAAGUUUAUGAACAGGUUUUGGAAGGUAAGGUUUGCAGCAUAAUCCUUGAACAUGUUCCAAUUUUAUAUAGCCCUUUGCUGAGAAGUUUUUGUUUUGGAGACAGAACAACUUGACAUAAGCCGAGGGAAAGGGACAGGGGAGUUGUUGCAAUGGGAUGAUGUUCAGAAAAUGAAGUAUUCUUGGAAUGUUGCAUCUGAAGUCAUGAGGCUAUCACCACCUGUUGCUGGUGCUUACAGAGAAGCAACAGGGGAUUUUACCUUUGCUGGCUAUACCAUUCCUAAGGGAUGGAAGGUGAAGCUUUUCUAAACUCACAGCAUCCUUGUCAUUUACAUUUUCUAAUUCAUCAUAGCAAUUUCUUCUUUUCUGACAGUUGAACUGGACCACUUUCUCGACACACAUGGAUCCGGCACACUUUCCGAAUCCCAAAGUUUUUGAUGCAUCGAGGUUUGAAGGGGAAGGUCCUGCACCCUAUUCAUAUGUUCCAUUUGGAGGAGGGCCUAGAAUGUGUUUGGGACUAGAGUUUGCAAGGCUAGAGAUACUUGUGUUCAUGCAUCACAUUGUGAAACAAUUCAAGUGGGAUUUGAUGAAUCCAAAUGAGAAGUUUAAGUAUGAUCCCUUGCUUGAGCCAGAAAAUGGACUUCCAAUUCGGCUUCACCCUCGCCCUCUCUAACCAAGUUGUCAUCUGUUUUGUCAAAACUUAUUUGGAUCUCUCUGUAUUCAGCAAAUACUCUAUUUUUCAUAAUGCUAUUGUUUAAGUUUAUGGCAAUAUCUUUUGUUGCAUGAUGUAUACAAUGGCAAUUACUAUGGCGGCUUUUGUUAAGUUAGGGUCCACAAUUUAAUUUUUUUAUUAUAUAACAACCAGCUGGACAAUAAUUUAUAUUAAUAUCCUGCUAUUUGUUUAAAUUCUACUACCACUAACCAGUGACAGAAUUCAAAAAUAAAUGAGAUAUAAUAGUAACAGUAAGAUAACUUGCCUCUUCAAGUGUUCAUUUCUCAUUUUAUAUAUAUAUGGCUCCUCUUGCCUAUAGCUGAGAACAACAUAAACUCAUCCAUUGAUUAUGGAGGUGGUCAAAUUUCUAGCAUUCCCAGCAGCUGAACUCUUGUUCCUUUGUCUACAUUUCAUCACGAAAAUUGUCAAACUUAGAAAGCAUCCAAAUCUGCAUGUUCCUCCUGGAAGCCUAGGAUGGCCUGUUGUUGGAGAAACCUUCAGCUAUUUGCGAGCUAAGGGCAGAAACACGGUGCGAUUCGUUACAGAAAGAAUGGGAAAGUAUGACUCAAGGGUGUUCAAGACUUCAUUUCUUGGAGAUCCUAUGGCUGUGCUUUGCGGCCUGGCAGGGAACAAGUUCUUGUUUGCAAUGAGAACAAAGAUGUCCAAGGAUGGAUUCCAUCCUCGGUAGAACAAGUUCUUGUUAAGGUCGUCUGUGGUUAACAAGGUUGGUGAAGAUGCAAAGAUGGCUAGAAAGUUGCUCUUGAGCUUUCUUAGUGCAGAAGCACUCAGGAAUUUCGUGCCAAAAAUGGAUACCAUUGCUCAGCUCCACAUAAACACUCAUUGGCAAGGUAAGAAAAAUGUCCCUGAAACAAAAUGAUGGCUAAUUAAAGUACAAUUGUGUUUACACUUUCUAUUGUUUACAAUUUUGAUGGAAAGGAGCAGGUGGUUGUGUAUUCCACAGUGCAGCUAUACACAUAUGCAUUGGCUGCUUGCUUAUUUUUAAGUGAAGAAGAUUCUAUCCAUGUGUCAAAGUUUUCAUCAAUGCUUGAUGAAUUUGUGAAAGGCUUGCUUGGUUUCCCCAUCAACUUGCCCGGAACAAAUUUCGUCGAUCCAUGAAAGCUGCAGAUGAAAUAAGGGAAGAAAUUAAAACGCUUAUGAGGCAAAGGAGAGCUGAUUUGGAGGAAAAAAGGCAUCACCUACCCAAGAUCUUCUGUCACAUUUGCUUGUCACACCUGAUGCCAGUGGAAGAUUCAUGACUGAAACCGAGAUUAUUGACAACCUGCUGCAGCUGCUUUUCUCUGGCCACAACACUACUAGAUCGGUUAUAUCGUCUAUCAUGAAGUAUCUUGGCGACCUGCCUGAAGUAUAUGAACAGGUUUUGAAAGGUUUACAACAAAAUCCUUCAACAUUUUACAUUUUUUCUACUGCUAUUCCUGAUAAACCUUCUUGUCCAGAAUUUAGAUCAAAACAAAUGUUGUUUUGUUUUGUCUUCAUGCCAGAAC